UCACUGACAUAGCACUUGUAGUUGUCAAAUCUAGAUAUAGAGGCUAUUUUUAAGUGAGAAACUUAGGUUUCUGUUUUCCAACUCCUUUACUGAAUAAGCUUGACUGUCCUGGAAUUUGCUGUGUAGACAGACUUUGACCUCAAAGAUCUUCCUGCCUUUGUAAACACAAAUAAUAAGCUUACCUUGCCCUGAGAUCACCACUCCAUCACUUUCUGAAGCUCCUUUAUUACUUGCUCCAUUAGCUUCCUCGUGUUUUUUGGUUUUUGUUGUUUCUUUUAAACUAUUCCUUUCCCUUUACUAGCUCAGUGUAGCUGCCUCUGUUCUUUCAGGUCUGUGUAGUUCUUCAUACAGUUCAUAUUGUAUCCUUAUAUUUCGCAUAGUUGAGAAAUCCUGUUUAUAUAUUCUUGAACUCAUGUUUUUGGAGUUCUUUCCCACAGCCUCAAGAUCAAGCAUUACUAUUUUGCUGUGGAAUAUUAGACACAUUUUUGAUUCCUGGACUCAUGCUGUUUCUAAUUGUCAUGGAGUCAUUAACCUUGGCAGGGAGAACAUUCCUAGGAACAUCAAAAAUAUGUACAUUAUCAUGCAAACAAGCAUUAUACCUAGAGUCACCAUAAGGAGCAGAGAAAUCCACAUCCUGCUGGUGCUGCACCAGGGAUGGGAACUGUGUCACACUAUCUCUUCUAUAGCCAUGCCCUACCUGGCACUGUGGGGCAUUUUCUAAGGCAAUGUAUUAUCAGACAGUGCUUUUAUUCAUGUAAAGCUCACAAUAAAACCACUUACUACAGACUCUUGGUAAUUACAUAUUAUCACCUCAGAAGCAAUGGCCCACCCUUCAGGUUGUAAUCACUGGUACUCCAACCCCUGGAGUAAGGCAGAUUUGCUAUUGUCUUGAUGUCAAAUAUUAAUUAUGCAAUUCUUUUUUUUAAUUCACUUUGUUAGACCAAUAUAAUCUUUCUAUUAAUCAAUUUAUUUAUUCACUUUACACCCAAUCAGAGCCCCCCUCCUUCAGUCUUCCCCUCACAUGGCCCAUCUCCCCACACUUUACUUCACCUCUGAGAAGAGGGAGGCCCCUCACAGGUAGCCAACACACUCUAUCACUUCAGGUCAUUGCAGGACUAGGUACACUCUCCCUCUGAGGCUAGGCAAAACAGCUCAGUUUCAAGAACAGAAUUAAAGUGAGAAUUCUUAAAUAAAAGACAUAAGAAUACUUUAAACCCUGCUCCAAACAGACACGUUAAGCAAUCAUGAACACUAUUUUUGUUUUGUUUUGUUCUGUUUUACAAUGCUUAGAAAAUAAAGGAAUGUAUAUGUUGUAGUUCUUAUUGUGGUUGUCUAAUUAAGACAACCCAAUAUCAACU
rnacentral:lncRNA from 1 species